CCUACGGGUGGCUGCAGUGAGGAAUCUUCGUCAAUGGCCGAGAGGCUGAACCAGCAAAGUCGCGUGAGUAAGACGGCCCUACUGGUUGUCAACCUCUUUUGUCGGGGAGCAAAGAGAGUCACGUGUGACUCAUUGAGAGUACCCGAAGAAAAAGCAUCGGCUAACUCCGUGCCAGCAGCCGCGGUAAUACGGAGGAGGCGAGGGUUAUCCGGAUUUAUUGGGUUUAAAGGGUGCGCAGGUGGAGGUGCAAGUCAGCGGUAAAAUUUCGGGGCUCAACCCCGUACUGCCGUUGAAAUUGUAUCCCUUGAGUGCGCGAGAAGUAUGCGGAAUGCGUGGUGUAGCGGUGAAAUGCAUAGAUAGCACGCAGAACUCCAGUUGCGAAGGCAGCAUACCGGCGCGCAACUGACGCUCAUGCACGAAAGCGUGGGUAUCGAACAGGAUUAGAUACCCCUGUAGUC
rnacentral:rRNA from 1 species